rnacentral:rRNA from 1 species
UACGGAGGGGGCAAGCGUUGUCCGGAAUUACUGGGCGUAAAGAGCUCGUAGGUGGUUUGUCGCGUUGUUCGUGAAAACCGGGGGCUUAACCCUCGGCGUGCGGGCGAUACGGGCAGACUUGAGUACUGCAGGGGAGACUGGAAUUCCUGGUGUAGCGGUGGAAUGCGCAGAUAUCAGGAGGAACACCGGUGGCGAAGGCGGGUCUCUGGGC